UGGUGUCUGUACUGCCUUACCACUUCGAGCUCGAUCCAGAGAGUUCAGAAGGCCGUUACGAUAUAAACGAUCUCCGUCAAUGAACGCGAUUGGAUUUAACUUUUUUAGGUGUCCUUAGCUCUGCCAGAAUGCUAAACGAAGACGAAAAUGUGUUGCAAAGACAUCCAAAAGGUUUUAAGGAGAAUGCAACAGGUUCCAGGGCCUCUUACCUGCGUGAUUCAUCAUCCAGGUUUUGCACAAAUUGUCUAAAUCCCUACACACAGAACAUUUAUUGUACCGACUAUAAGCCUUUGAGGCGCAGGACUAGAAUAUGCUUGGAGCUUCCUGAUCGGAAUGUUGGCUUUCGACGACCCCUGCACUGAAGAUGGCAUGCAAUCACGUCCUCCUUUGAAGGUCUCUCAAACUGUGAUGCCAGGUCCAUUGGAAUCGGGGUUUCCUUCAGCUUAUCUUCAAAUACCUCAGCAAACACAAGCCUGAUCACAUCCUCCACAUAACUGUAGAAAUAUUGCAGUCAAUAAAUCUUUUGUUUUGAUCA